GGUUCCUUGGUAUAGUGGUAAGCAUAUCUGCUUUGCAUGCAGAAGAUCCUGGGUUCAUACUCCAGUGGAGCCA
rnacentral:tRNA from 1 species